AAGAACACCAAAAAUAAAAUAACAAACAAUAGCAACAACAAUAUAAUAGGAACAAAUGGCACAACAUGUAACAUAAAGAACCAGGAAUAAGAAAAAAUUAUACAAAUAAUACUAGUACUACUGAUAAGACUAAGGGACUAGCUUCUACCGUCAACCUUCCACCCUGAUUCUCGACCUCCACCAUAUCCUAUCGAGGGUCAUAUCCUUGGUAAGAUGAAGCAAUGAUAUAUAUUGCAUAAUCAUCUCACCCUAAUACUUCUUAGGCUUACCCAUAUCCUUCCUUAGACCCGCCAUGAUACACCUAUCACACUUUCUGAUCAGAGUAUUUACGACUUUUCUCUAUACGUACUCGAAGUAUCUCAACCUCGAUUCCCGCAAUUUGAAACCUACCACACUUACUACAUGUGCAUCUCUCCUUAUCCAAACCUCCAUAAGUGCCAAUGAAAUUUAUAGAAAACUAACAAACCUUUCCC
rnacentral:lncRNA from 1 species